GACGAACGCUGGCGGCGUGCCUAAUACAUGCAAUUUGAGCGCUGAAGGUUGGUACUUGUCCCUACUGGAUGAGCAGCGAACGGGUGAGUAACGCUUGGGGAAUCUCCCUUUUAGCGGGGGACAACAUUUGGAAACGAAUGCUAAUACCGCAUAAAAACUUUAAACACAAGUUUUAAGUUUCAAAGAUGCUAUUGCAUCACUCAAAGAUGAUCCCGCGUUGUCUUAUUUAGUUGGUGAGGUAAAGGCUCACCAAGGCGAUGAUACAUAGCCGACCUGAGAGGGUGGACGGGCAAAAUGGGACCGAGACAAGGCCCAAAACUCUACGGGAAGCAGCAGGAGGGAAUCAUCGGAAAAGGAGGAAAGGCUGGACGAGCAACGACGGGUGAGUGAAGAAGGGUGUCGGAGCGGAAAAGUCUGUUGGUAGAGAAGAAAGUGGGGGAGAGUGGAAAGCUCAUGAAGUGACGGUAACUAAACAGAAAGGGACGGCUAACUACGUG
rnacentral:rRNA from 1 species